UACGAAGGGGGCUAGCGUUGCUCGGAAUCACUGGGCGUAAAGCGCACGUAGGCGGCUUUGCAAGUUAGAGGUGAAAGCCCAGGGCUCAACCCUGGAAUUGCCUUUAAAACUGCAUCGCUAGAAUUGUGGAGAGGUAAGUGGAAUUCCGAGUGUAGAGGUGAAAUUCGUAGAUAUUCGGAAGAACACCAGUGGCGAAGGCGACUCACUGGACACGUAUUGACGCUGAGGUGCGAAAGCGUGGGGAGCAAACAGG
rnacentral:rRNA from 1 species